rnacentral:rRNA from 1 species
UGGGGAAUUUUGGACAAUGGGCGAAAGCCUGAUCCAGCAAUGCCGCGUGUGUGAAGAAGGCCUUCGGGUUGUAAAGCACUUUUGUCCGGAAAGAAAUCCUUGGCUCUAAUACAGUCGGGGGAUGACGGUACCGGAAGAAUAAGCACCGGCUAACUACGUGCCAGCAGCCGCGGUAAUACGUAGGGUGCAAGCGUUAAUCGGAAUUACUGGGCGUAAAGCGUGCGCAGGCGGUUUGCUAAGACCGAUGUGAAAUCCCCGGGCUCAACCUGGGAACUGCAUUGGUGACUGGCAGGCUAGAGUAUGGCAGAGGGGGGUAGAAUUCCACGUGUAGCAGUGAAAUGCGUAGAGAUGUGGAGGAAUACCGAUGGCGAAGGCAGCCCCCUGGGCCAAUACUGACGCUCAUGCACGAAAGCGUGGGGAGCAAAACAGGAUUAGAUACCCUGGUAGUCCACGCCCUAAAACGAUGUCAACUAGUUGUUGGGGAUUCAUUUCCUUAAUAACGUAGCUAACGCGUGAAGUUGACCGCCUGGGGAGUACGGUCGCAAGAUUAAAACUCAAAGGAAUUGACGGGGUCAUA